rnacentral:tRNA from 1 species
GGUUCCGUAGCUCAGCUGGAUAGAGCAACGCACUUCUAAUGCGUAGGUCGAAGGUUCGAAUCCUUCCGGGAUCACAA